GCGGGUAUGGCGGAAUUGGCAGACGCGCCAGACUUAGGAUCUGGUGUCUUUCGAUGUGCAGGUUCGACCCCUGUUACCCGCACCA
rnacentral:tRNA from 1 species